AAAUGAUUUGUGCCAUUUUACUACAGCUCUGAACGUAGCUCAUUUCGAUUUUAGAGACAGCUUUUGUGAGUACACCUUUCGUCAUUCCUUUGACACCUUCUUCGUCUCAUCUGGAUAACUAUUAAUAUGACAAAGAGCUGUCGAGGCUGAAUACACAGACAGGCCAAGAGGAGAAUAAAUGCAUCUGCGGCAGGUGAGAAAAGCCUCUGGUGAUCAGACCCGUGAUGGACAGAGUGGUAAUUGUGCGGUGGACCGGAUGCGUUUCUGCAUCUCGCCGUGUGAUGAGCGCUCUUUCCUCUGGAUCUCGCCAGUUGUCUACGCCCUGAGCCGAUGUUUACCCUGCUCUGAGCUUGCUUUGCCUGUUGAUCGAAGCGGGGAAGAUAUUGCGUGUCAAGUGCUCUCCUGGGCUAAACUAUCAUUUCAAAGUGUUAUCACACAAUCCUGACUCUCAGGGGCCGCCCGCCUGCCAGCCAUACAGAGGAGCUGGAGGAGCUCCAGACUUUUGCCAAGCAAAGUGUAUGCCGGCCGGCAGCCAAAGCAAUGGCAUCCUAGCAAGGGCACCGAGGAUGCAAAUGAGGGCAGGUUGUGCAGGUAACACUUCAAUAAACCAAGUGAUUA